AAAGAAAUAAAAAUAAAUAAAUGAAAAGAACAGGAGAGAGAAAGGAAGAAGUAGAGCUCCCGCCUUUGGAAGAAAUACCAAACGUUUGCUGAAAUUUCGCAGAGAAAAUUGAAAAAAAUAGAUUCAACUUGGAGUGUUCAACCCCAGAAAUGAAGUAUUACUUUUCAGUAUGAUUGAGGAAAAAUUGACCUCACCGGACCCCAAACCCUAGUACUGGUUGUAUCUAAGCUGCUGUUGUUGCUGUUCUUGUAUCACAACUCUGCUCGGAAUUGAAGUUGGCUAAACUCUCUGGGUAGGAUAUCUCCUCUGGUCCACAAUAAUUGCAAGCCAGCCCCGUUCUUCAAUCUGCCCCAUCUGCGUUUGCUGUAAAGAAAAAAAGGGUUUUAGAAUUCAUGUGACUACAACUGAAAAGGUUUCCUUACUGCUUACCUGGUAUAUAGAUGUCUGGCUGUGGGCAGGGGAAGGUGCAGCAUAGAACAUAAAAGGAUGUGAUCUUUCAUCAGCAAAGUCUCUCAACUUCUCAAGCUCUGGCAAGACGUCUUUUCCGAGAUCUGGUCGGUCUCUCCUUCUUAGCUCAGCGCAUUGAAUAGCUAUCUUUGCCAGGCGUAAGGCUUCCUCCACUGGCCAAUCAGUUAGCAGUUGGAGAAGCACUAUCCCCAAUGAAUAGAUAUCAGAUUUAACACCAAGCACACCAGUUUGUUGAUACUCUGGAUCGAUGUAACAGAAAGUCCCGGCAGCUGACGUCACGCAAUAUUGUGUUGCUUGAUCGGCAACAGAAGGUACCAGUCUCGCCAAUCCAACAUCUCCAAUCUUGGCGACGUAAUACCGAUCCAAAAGUAUAUUCCCAGGUUUAAGGUCACGAUGAACUAGCGGUUCUGGCUUUGUCAUAUGGAGGAAAUUAAGUCCUGUCGCAAUGUCUGCUGCAAUUCGGAACCUAAUUUGCCAAGUUAGAGGUUGCAUUUUUCCUCGACGAAACAGACAAUCAUCUAAACUACCAUUUGCCAUGUAUUCAUAAACUAUGCAACCAUAUUCUGGGCAUGCUCCUAGGAGAAGAACCAUGUUGGGAUGCCUGAUGCAGCUCAGUACUUCAACCUGCAACAAGUUCAAGGGAUUGGUGAUUUCGUGAAGUAACAAAACUCCUGCAUUUUUACCUCUUGUUGGAACUGUGUUCUUCCUUGAGCAGCAUCUGGCCGUAAAACUUUCACUGCAACUUUUGUAUGAUCAAGGUCACACUUAAAGACGGGCCCAUAGCCUCCUUCUCCCACUUUGAGAGAUGGAGAGAAAGAGUUCGUUGCUUUUUCUAUAUCUUCAAUGGUGUACUUCUUGUAGCUUAUGGCACUAUGGGUUGGUGUAUACUCUGUGUUACCUGAACUAUUUUUUCUUUCUUCCUUCAGUGCCGCAGCCCUUUCUGCUCUAUUUCUCUCAGCAAGCACUAUUGCAACUUCCUCAGGUGUUCCUGUUUCUUCCAAUUUUUUGUCUUCUUCUAGUCUCCACCGGUGGAGCUCCAUUGCCUGCACUUGUUUGACAUUCUAAUUAUCAGUUGCCAGAAAUGUCAUUUAUUCAUGCAAUCUUCCUUGAGACAUGUACGAAGUAUUUUUAAGGGGAAAAGGAAGAGGGGUGGGUGUUUGCGUGUUAAGGCGUGAAGCCUACUUGUUGUUCUUCUCUCUUUUUUGCAAAAACUGCUUCUUUGCAGGCUUCACCGUACAUCUGCAUGGUUUGCUUGAGCUCAAGCUUUAAUCUUCUCAUCUCUGAUUCUGUUUCUUCCUGUGUUUAUGUAAACAGAAUUCAAAUUGUUGCAUGUCUUCACAACAUAACUUACAAAAAAAUAAAUGAAAAAUAAACAAUUCAUGCAGACAUAUGAUAGUCAUCCUUUGUAUUCUGUACGAAACUGGAAAAAUCGGUGAACAGUACAUGCAAGAUACAUGAAGUCUUCUGCCCCUUUUUUAUACUCCCUCCGUAUUUAUUUAAGGGAUAGACUUGCUUUUUUCGGCCGUAUUUAUUUAAGAGAUACACUUGCUAUUUUUAGUAACUUAUCAAUCCCACCAUCUAAUUAAAUAAUACUUCAUAUGACCCACCAACCUAUUAAACAAAUAAUUUCAUAAACUCACCCCACCUCCCACCCCCCAAAAUGACAUGGUCCCACGUGAUUAAUUAUUAAAAUAUAUAUAUCUAACCCCACUUGCUUUAUUAUUUUAUUUCAUUAAAUUCUUCUUCUUAAUACCCGUGUCCGGCCAAGUGUAUCUCUUAAAUAAAUACGGAGGGAGUACUAUAUUACUAUGAAGGUUAUUUUGUACAUGAACACCUAGAUAUUUCGUGAGUUGCACGUAGUCACCUGCUCUUUUUUCUUUGAAAAGACUCACCUCUCACAUCGUUGAACCUAAAUUAUUACCUUUGUUUGGUAGAUUACCUCGUACGUAAUUCCUGCUCACAUUGCAACUGACAGUAUUUUUAGAUUCCCUCAGGUGGGAAGCUGAGUUCAAGUAAACACAGGUAUGUAUGAUAAUAUUCUCUGUUUGUGUAGAAUAUAGACAUAUAUGAUAAUAUGCUAUUUGACGACAACUGACCAUACAUCAUGAUUCCCGCAUAAAAUUGGAGGUGUUGUCCAUUGAUAUUUCAGUCGAAAUUAAACAUACUUACACUAUGCUGUGAAGAAGUUGAAGUCCAUCCACUUUCUUGUGACAUAAAUGAAAGUUCAGGCCUUGGAUUAAUAUCAUUCAUCCUUUGUCCUCCCCGAGACCCAAAACUAUGGUCUGAACUAGUGGAAAGCCUUGGGGUUCGUGAUAUAUCCAUGUAGUCAUAAUGCACAGAAAAACGAUCAACACUAGUUCUCUCAGAGCUCACAAAUGAUAUAUCUGUAUCACUUUCUGGAAAUUCACUUAACACCAGCCUUUCAUUCCAUCUAUCUAACCUGUUACAGCAUUUGUUAAACAUGAGUGAAUAUUAUCAUUUAAAUCCUGUACUGUUGAAUGCAUGAGAAGUGGAUAUGGGUUCCGAGGUUUAAUGACUGUAUUAAUAAACUGAUCUCAUUUUUUGAUGCUUUUAUUCAACCUUUGAAGUCUGUUAAGCAUGUGUAUUGAUUUGCCACAUAUGUAAUAAAAUUCAAGCUUUUAUUCGUAGUAUAAACUAGUAUCCGAGGAAUGCAUGAAUGACACUACACUCUUGACAAACAGAGAAUGAGCUUUCCCUGCUACUGGAUGUACCUUAACUCCCUGUCAUCUCUUGGAGGUGUGAAUGAAGGCCUCUCUCCUGCUUGCACAAAAUCCAGAUUCUAUCAUUUUGAGUAGAAGCAACAUUAAGUAAUAUAGUAGGACAGAGGAAGCAAAGAAACCUCUAAUGCUUAGACUACGUCUUGGUGGUGUCGAAACAGGUGGGGAAAGAUUUGGUUUAUCUUUGACUAUGCUUUCUAAGUAGUACUGAAGAGGAGACGUGUGUGGAACUGGUCGUGAAGCAUUGCGUGCACUUGACAUCUUUUGCUUGUUGAUUACAUAUACAGUGCAGAAAUCAGGUGCUCCUCUUGAAACAAUAGUUGGUACAUCUGCACUCUUGAAUUUUCUGUGUCACCAUAAAAUAAAAUUUCACUUAUCACGUGUCUGUCAGACAAAAGGAAUUUUCUGCACAUGAUUUGCAGUGCUUGCUUCAAUAUGUGAUGCCAAAUUAUAAGGCUUUCUAAUUCUGUCUAUCACUGUUAGGUAAGAUUCAAAAUGAUCAGGGGAGUUGCUCUUUUCAUCUAGUUAAAUUUAUAAAUCUUUAGGGACUUUUAAAGAUGACUUUACUCUAUAUGGUUUCUCAUAGAAGUAUUGUUUACUGCAAUUAAUGUGAAGUUAGUUGUCAUACAUUGACCCGUUCUUGUUUGUGAUAAAUAAAUAGAAAAUCCGGUGCUGCUAUGGGUACUUCUUAAAAAAAAAGUCUCUGAAGCUAUUACCUGAUGAAUCCACCUCUUGAAACACCAAGAACCAAAUUCUCAAUUGCAGCGUAAUUGGCGUAUUCUAUCAGAGCUCUCCCUACAUCGUUAUCUUUCAGUGUGAUAUCUAUGCAGCGUAUCUGACAAAAACCAGAAAUCAGGCCAGUUUAUAAGCACUUUAACAUAUACCAGGAGACAAUUAGACCAAAUAGUGAUAAGAACUAGCUUAUGUGUUUUCAGGUUCUGGCCAUAGAUUUUUAUUAGAUACAGUGAUAAUAUUGUACUUGUUUGCUUGUAUUGAUCAUUUGAUCUGCCACCUGGGUUCUUGAUCUUUUCUCUUCUUUUGUUUGUAUCUUGCUGACAUAUCUUUUUUGGUUAUUUUACCUAGUGUGAUUAAGUGUUGAUAGCUAUAUUGUAAUAGUAUCGCUUAAGAAAACGUACAUCCUUGCGAGUACAGAAGCAGCGAAAUGUGAGGAACAGGUCCUUUGUGUUCUUGUCGACUUGAUUAUAAUUUGGUGAUGUGCCUGGACUUGAUGUUGAUACAAUGGCAGAACUACCCGCUGCAAGCAUCAAAGAAAUUAGGUUGCAUCUUGGUUACUCUUUUUUUUACAAUUGCAAAUGAGUUAAGGCAUAUUUGCGUAGGGUGCUGUCUUUUAAUUUGAAAUUCUACAGGUAAUAACAUUGCUUUCGGAUAUUAUGCAUUGUGGUGAUAUUUUUUAUGAUCUGCUACAUCUUUAAAAAUAAAAUAAAAUUUGGCCUAUCUUUGUUUACGUUUUCUCCUGUAUCGUUUGACUUCUAGUGGCUCAUUGUUUUGUUUUUCUGUCUCUUAUAACUAUUGAAGCUUUAAGGAAAUUAUACUACGUGCAGAAUUGCAGACUCGCAGGAGUAUCUAAUUAAAAGGACGUAUCCUUUCACAAGACUCUGCCACGUAUUAUCCUCUUCCAACAAUUGAGACUUAGCAUAUCAUUGGAUGGACUUCACUGUAAAACUUAACACUUCAUUUAGUUGGUAGACAUUUGAUCGGAAAAUGAAGAUGGGGUUAUUGCACAGCGAGGUUUUGCAGCUAGUUUGCUAAAUCGAAGGGCAACCAUUGGUAUCAAACUUGGGGUAAGGGACCUUCCAAUUGGUUGUUAGCCAUAUUGAUGUUUGGCAAGUCCUUCUGCUUGAAAUCGGGGACUCUGCCUUGGAAUUGGUUUCCGUCUAAUUUCAGCUCAACGAGUAUGGGUAGCGAGGGGAGAGAUGAUGGUAUCUUUCCGGUGAAGGCAUUGUUUGCGAGGACCACCCUCCUUAAAGAAUCCAUCCCAGCAAAGGCAUUCUCGGGAAUUUCACCAGAAAAAUUAUUAUUAGAGAGGUAAACGGAUCUCAAUUUUGGUAGACGGCGAAUAUCUGGAAUCGGACCUUUAAACUUGUUGUGUUUGACGCUUAGGGUCCUCAUCUCAGGCAAUUGAGAGAGAGCAUCAAUAUCAAUGGUGCCUCCCAAACCUAAAUAUUCGAG